UCCAAUCUAAACACUUGAGAGUUGAGUGCAUCAUUGAAACAUCCAUAUUUGUGAGGAUUCAAGCUUGGAGGCUAUAAUGUUGAACUCAUUAUCACUUGUGAUUUCUUGGAAUGCAUUUCUACUUGUGAUACACUUUUGAAAGAUUUUUGAAAAAUUUGAAGCCCUUGAAAUGACACCAAUUCAUUCUCACAUGUUUGUUAUCUUUUAUUUCUCUUC
rnacentral:lncRNA from 1 species